UACGUAGGAGGCGAGCGUUGUCCGGAGUUACUGGGCGUAAAGGGUGCGCAGGCGGUGGCCCACGUGGGCGGUGAAAGCUCCUGGCUCAACUGGGAGAGGGCCGUCCAGACGGGGUCACUUGAGGGGCGGAGAGGGGCGUGGAAUUCCGGGUGGAGCGGUGAAAUGCGUAGAUAUCGUUUGGAACGCCCAAGGUGAAAACAGGUUGCUGGGGAUGUACUGACGCUGAGACACGAAAGCCAGGGGAGCAAACGGG
rnacentral:rRNA from 1 species